ACAGAUUUGUACAUACAAAAUUUCAGAGCCUUCAUACAAAAUUCUACCGAUAACAAUGGACCACAGAUAAGAAUUCCACAAAUAAUUCUAAAAAACAAAUACAUAAAAUCUCAGAAUUCAUAUAAACAAAUACAUAAAACCAUCAGUUCACAAGGGUUCAGAUACUGGUCAGUCCACAUAUCAUUGAGAUCAACCGUUGGCCUAAAUCGUUUUCAUGUGCUACAUCAUUCAAAUUUAUUCACGACAAAAGAAAAUUGAAUUAUCACUUGCCAUGUCCAAGGCAGAGAUACUUUCAAAUUAGAUGAACUGCAAGGCGGCGAUCACUAGCCCUACUCAAGUCGUUUCUCCACUCUACAUGGACAUCAGGUACCGCAUCUUGAUGUUGACUGAACUACACAAAAUAUUAAGUUAGCACCAGUUCAGUUUCAAUAGACUAUUUUUAAGUAUAAAUGGAUUAAGAUGAAAUAGUAUGAACCAAUAUAUGAUAUGUGCAGUGUGCAUAAAAAAUCGACUAAAUUGCUUGUGAAAAGAAUAUUAAUAUCUUCAAGCUUCUUUGAAGCUCUACAAAGUACUCAGAAUCAGAAUGUCCUAAGAACCAAAAUGCCACUUGCAAUCACUACAAAGUACUCAGAUUUAAUAUUCACUUGAAGUAAUCGUGCGCUUUGCAGCUCCGUAAGGUCACAAUGUUGUUCAUUAUUAUAUUUUGAUUGGUGUAAUACAUUACCAACUACGCUUAAAUCAAAUGAUCGACUUGCAAUGCUUUUCGUUGUGCUCACCCAGAUAUAUCUAAGACCUUCAUGCCAUGGGAAAAUAUGCAUUUUCAAAAUAAAUGCACAUAAAUUGUAUCAACAUAUUCAAGAAAAAAAAGAUUGCUUCGAUUAAUCUAAGACAUAUUGAAGUAAGUGAAUAAAAGAGUAGACACAAAAUAAUAUUGUUUGUCUCAAUGGGUAUCUACAAAGAGAACAAUGAUGAACAGAGUUUGCCCUCCAAGAACUACCAUUGGUUCAUUUUCCAGGUCCUUACAUGGCAAAAUCACGGCACGAUCAUUUGCACUGAAGACACAACACUGCAUAUAGGUCAAUAAACAGCUUAUAAACUUAUGCAUAUCAGUAUAUGGUCAUUCUUUGAUCAUGGGUUUGUGAGAGCAUUAAACACACCAUUAAAUAGGUGUCACACCACAGCUGAUCUGCUGAAUAUAAACAAAGGCAUGAUGAAACCAAAGCCAGUGAAGAGAAAUCAACAACUGAUCUGCUUGAAAUAGAUGUAUGAUUCUACUAUACACCUUUAUUUGCACAUUUGCAACCAUUUCUACUCAUGCUUUGCUAUAAACAGCCGUAUGUCCGUCUAUCUGGAAGUGAACAAACAAGAAAAAAGUAAGAUACAUAUGUCUCCUGUACCUUCCAGCUACAGCUCCACCUUCCUGGAACUAUAGGUAGAAAACUAAAAUGAACUAUUAAAUUGCUCUUGCCUAUCUUGGAGGUACAGCUAUACACCUUAGGAAGAAAACAAAUUAUCUCACCUCUACCUUUACUCUUUGGUUCAUCUAAUAAGAACCAGCAGCAAAAGCUUUAUCAUGUAAACGGCAGCAGAACUCAGAACAUAAACAUCACCAAUCACAUCUCUUCUUGGCCAGCUGUUCAAUUCAUACCAACCAAUAAAUUUAAGCUUUCCCAUACCUUUCUUGCUUUCUUCUCAAUGACAGAUUAAAGAUAACAAGAUCAAGCUCAUAUAGUGAGUUGAAAAGCCUGCAACAGGCAGCAGUGCUCGAGAUAUUAUCUAUUGUAUUAUUAGAAUGAACGGACUAGAUUUAACUAGCAAACAAGAAUGGUACAGAUUUAAAGAAGCUAAUAUAGAUUUGUACGUAGGAGUCAAAACAUUUUUGACCUAGGCCAGAUUGGAAUCGAGAAGCCACUCAAGUACAUCCAAAAAGAACACGUACAAGUAAAUAUUUGACGGCAGCCAACCUUGAUGGACAAAAAAGGUAACUGGAGCAGUCCCGUUCUCACACGUUCUUAAGGCAAGGGUGGUGGCGUGAAUUCAUGUCGCAAAUAAAAAUUUGACGGCGGCCAAACUAAAUGGGCAAAAAAAGAAUCCGGAGCAGUCCAGUUCUUACACGUUCUUAAGGCAAGAGUGGUGUGGCGUUGAUUCAUGUCAAUUAAGAAAAACAGUGGCGUUGUUUUGCUAGUUUCUAUCUAAAAUAUAUGCAGAAUAGUUGCUCACAAAUGUCACCUGCUCACAAGAACUUGAUUCAUACAACUAUAUUGAUCUGCUUGUAUCUAAAUCUAAUCAGUAAUCAGUGUCCUGUACCUCAUAUAACAUAUGAAAUCUGAUGUCAACAAUGAAAAUACUAUGGACAGAUACAUAGCUAUGAAAUUGAACCAACUGACCCAAUCUGGUGCAUACAAGUCCAAAGUUUUACCAAAUGUAUGAGCAACUAUAUGCAUCAAGCUUCAGACUACUUUUCACAAUUCGAUGGGCGGCAUAGCAUGCUACAUAGAAACAAAUCGUAGCUGGCACACAUGAAAAUACAACUCAUAUGGAACUGGUGGUUCAAGAACUACACAAGAAAAAUACAAGCUCGUAUGGAACCGGUGGUUCAAGAUCAGGGAUGGUGAAGCCAUGAACUGAAAAGAAAAAUAUGGGGGAAGGAGGAGGGGGCAAACCCUUGAUCAGAUGAGAUAGUAACGUCCGCGGAACCGUUGCCGCCGACGUCGCCGGAGGGGAUCGGAGCUUGGAGGAGGAGGGGAGAUCUGGGGAAGGAGAACGGUGACGGCCGCGGUCCGUCGCCGUCGCUGGACGGGCGGAGCUUGGAUCCUCAGCACUGGAGGGAGGGGGUCGGGAGCGUCGCUUCUUGUCACCGGCGGAGGAGCUCGGAGGCGGUCGAGGGCGCUAGAUCUUGGUCGACGGCGUUGCCGUUCGCUCGUCUCGCUCGAGCCGUGGAUUUCCUCCCCGAGCUCUGGGGUCGUGGGUUUCCUCCCCGUGGAAAGGACG
rnacentral:lncRNA from 1 species